rnacentral:rRNA from 1 species
GGGUUGUGAGGUUAAGCGACUAAGCGUACACGGUGGAUGCCCUGGCAGUCAGAGGCGAUGAAGGACGUGCUAAUCUGCGAUAAGCGUCGGUAAGGUGAUAUGAACCGUUAUAACCGGCGAUUUCCGAAUGGGGAAACCCAGUGUGAUUCGUCACACUAUCAUUAACUGAAUCCAUAGGUUAAUGAGGCGAACCGGGGGAACUGAAACAUCUAAGUACCCCGAGGAAAAGAAAUCAACCGAGAUUCCCCCAGUAGCGGCGAGCGAACGGGGAGCAGCCCAGAGCCUGAAUCAGUGUGUGUGUUAGUGGAAGCGUCUGGAAAGGCGCGCGAUACAGGGUGACAGCCCCGUACACAAAAAUGCACAUACUGUGAGCUCGAUGAGUAGGGCGGGACACGUGGUAUCCUGUCUGAAUAUGGGGGGACCAUCCUCCAAGGCUAAAUACUCCUGACUGACCGAUAGUGAACCAGUACCGUGAGGGAAAGGCGAAAAGAACCCCGGCGAGGGGAGUGAAAAAGAACCUGAAACCGUGUACGUACAAGCAGUGGGAGCACGCUUAGGCGUGUGACUGCGUACCUUUUGUAUAAUGGGUCAGCGACUUAUAUUCUGUAGCAAGGUUAACCGAAUAGGGGAGCCGAAGGGAAACCGAGUCUUAACUGGGCGUUAAGUUGCAGGGUAUAGACCCGAAACCCGGUGAUCUAGCCAUGGGCAGGUUGAAGGUUGGGUAACACUAACUGGAGGACCGAACCGACUAAUGUUGAAAAAUUAGCGGAUGACUUGUGGCUGGGGGUGAAAGGCCAAUCAAACCGGGAGAUAGCUGGUUCUCCCCGAAAGCUAUUUAGGUAGCGCCUCGUGAAUUCAUCUCCGGGGGUAGAGCACUGUUUCGGCAAGGGGGUCAUCCCGACUUACCAACCCGAUGCAAACUGCGAAUACCGGAGAAUGUUAUCACGGGAGACACACGGCGGGUGCUAACGUCCGUCGUGAAGAGGGAAACAACCCAGACCGCCAGCUAAGGUCCCAAAGUCAUGGUUAAGUGGGAAACGAUGUGGGAAGGCCCAGACAGCCAGGAUGUUGGCUUAGAAGCAGCCAUCAUUUAAAGAAAGCGUAAUAGCUCACUGGUCGAGUCGGCCUGCGCGGAAGAUGUAACGGGGCUAAACCAUGCACCGAAGCUGCGGCAGCGACGCUUAUGCGUUGUUGGGUAGGGGAGCGUUCUGUAAGCCUGUGAAGGUGUGCUGUGAGGCAUGCUGGAGGUAUCAGAAGUGCGAAUGCUGACAUAAGUAACGAUAAAGCGGGUGAAAAGCCCGCUCGCCGGAAGACCAAGGGUUCCUGUCCAACGUUAAUCGGGGCAGGGUGAGUCGACCCCUAAGGCGAGGCCGAAAGGCGUAGUCGAUGGGAAACAGGUUAAUAUUCCUGUACUUGGUGUUACUGCGAAGGGGGGACGGAGAAGGCUAUGUUGGCCGGGCGACGGUUGUCCCGGUUUAAGCGUGUAGGCUGGUUUUCCAGGCAAAUCCGGAAAAUCAAGGCUGAGGCGUGAUGACGAGGCACUACGGUGCUGAAGCAACAAAUGCCCUGCUUCCAGGAAAAGCCUCUAAGCAUCAGGUAACAUCAAAUCGUACCCCAAACCGACACAGGUGGUCAGGUAGAGAAUACCAAGGCGCUUGAGAGAACUCGGGUGAAGGAACUAGGCAAAAUGGUGCCGUAACUUCGGGAGAAGGCACGCUGAUAUGUAGGUGAAGUCCCUCGCGGAUGGAGCUGAAAUCAGUCGAAGAUACCAGCUGGCUGCAACUGUUUAUUAAAAACACAGCACUGUGCAAACACGAAAGUGGACGUAUACGGUGUGACGCCUGCCCGGUGCCGGAAGGUUAAUUGAUGGGGUCAGCGCAAGCGAAGCUCUUGAUCGAAGCCCCGGUAAACGGCGGCCGUAACUAUAACGGUCCUAAGGUAGCGAAAUUCCUUGUCGGGUAAGUUCCGACCUGCACGAAUGGCGUAAUGAUGGCCAGGCUGUCUCCACCCGAGACUCAGUGAAAUUGAACUCGCUGUGAAGAUGCAGUGUACCCGCGGCAAGACGGAAAGACCCCGUGAACCUUUACUAUAGCUUGACACUGAACAUUGAGCCUUGAUGUGUAGGAUAGGUGGGAGGCUUAGAAGUGUGGACGCCAGUCUGCAUGGAGCCGACCUUGAAAUACCACCCUUUAAUGUUUGAUGUUCUAACGUUGACCCGUAAUCCGGGUUGCGGACAGUGUCUGGUGGGUAGUUUGACUGGGGCGGUCUCCUCCUAAAGAGUAACGGAGGAGCACGAAGGUUGGCUAAUCCUGGUCGGACAUCAGGAGGUUAGUGCAAUGGCAUAAGCCAGCUUGACUGCGAGCGUGACGGCGCGAGCAGGUGCGAAAGCAGGUCAUAGUGAUCCGGUGGUUCUGAAUGGAAGGGCCAUCGCUCAACGGAUAAAAGGUACUCCGGGGAUAACAGGCUGAUACCGCCCAAGAGUUCAUAUCGACGGCGGUGUUUGGCACCUCGAUGUCGGCUCAUCACAUCCUGGGGCUGAAGUAGGUCCCAAGGGUAUGGCUGUUCGCCAUUUAAAGUGGUACGCGAGCUGGGUUUAGAACGUCGUGAGACAGUUCGGUCCCUAUCUGCCGUGGGCGCUGGAGAACUGAGGGGGGCUGCUCCUAGUACGAGAGGACCGGAGUGGACGCAUCACUGGUGUUCGGGUUGUCAUGCCAAUGGCACUGCCCGGUAGCUAAAUGCGGAAGAGAUAAGUGCUGAAAGCAUCUAAGCACGAAACUUGCCCCGAGAUGAGUUCUCCCUGACUCCUUGAGAGUCCUGAAGGAACGUUGAAGACGACGACGUUGAUAGGCCGGGUGUGUAAGCGCAGCGAUGCGUUGAGCUAACCGGUACUAAUGAACCGUGAGGCUUAACCUUACAACGCCGAAGCUGUU